CAAGCCCAAGAAAUUUUUUUUUUUUUUGAAGAGUGGUCAAUGAGUGGGCCUCUUCCCCUUCUGCGGGAGUCCGGCCCAUGUAAGGGGCGCACAUAAAACCUAGAAUCUAGGUCAUCCGCUUCCUUACCCAGCCUCCACGACACUGUCAUUCUCCACAGAUUGGCAAAAAGGCAGCACAAAAGCUGAGAAUCCCGUGAUGGGUUUCUUCUCUUUUGCCUGUUGGAGGGGAAGCAAAAAAGGGUCAAAUGGCAUUUGCUUACUUGACAAAGUACUUGGUUGAUUGGCUACCCAAGACUCACCAAUGAAUUGAGUGCAAAUGUUUAGUUUUCUGCUUGAAUACUAAGAUUGUAACCUUUAUAUUGCAAGGAUUAGACCUUGGGGGUAGAGCUUUUGAUUUUGUUUUUGCCUUGGAUUUUUGUAAUGCCCAGUUUCUGCUUCUAGCUGAUCCUCUGCUUAUUUAUUUAUUUAUUUUUGCUUCUGGUUA